CUUUGUAUAUUAGAGGAGAGGUUUAGAGAUAAUUCUCUUGAAGAUCUCCUUAAGAAUAGUAUUUUAGGAAUUGGGGUGCGUAAGAGAAAUAUUGUGUAUUAUAUGGUUGUAACAAUUUUUCAUAUGGUAAAUAUUUUUCUGGGUUGUUAUUCUCUUUAAAUCUUGUGUUGUUAUUCUCUUUAAAUUUCUCUGUUAUUAAUAUCUGUUUGAAGGUGGUUCGAAAGGGACGAAAAUUAGUCGGUGGUUUUUUCCAACACUAUGAUGGUUCUAAGAGACACCAAUAAUCUGGCAAUAGAGUAACGGAUGAAGGAAUUCAAGAAUCUUCUACUAUCAUAAUGUUACUUCCCUCAUUCUUCCUUGAGGUUUAAGUGUACCUACAUCAGGUUAUGGAAAUAUCUACCAAUCCUAGCUACUAUUUGUAUAGUUUCGAAACAGCUAAAAUUACUUUCCUGUUGAGAACUUGUAAGGAUGUUUACAUUUCGAUGUGAAAUGUCUUGAUAGAUGUAAAGCUUGUGACUCUUGUGUUGAA